UACGUAGGGGCUAGCGUUGUCCGGAUUUAUUGGGCGUAAAGAGCGUGUAGGCGGCCAGGUAGGUCUGCUGUGAAAACUCGAGGCUCAACCUCGAGACGUCGGCGGAAACCAUCUGGCUAGAGUCCGGAAGAGGAGAGUGGAAUUCCUGGUGUAGCGGUGAAAUGCGCAGAUAUCAGGAAGAACACCCGUGGCGAAGGCGGCU
rnacentral:rRNA from 1 species